UACGUAGGGUGCGAGCGUUAAUCGGAAUUACUGGGCGUAAAGAGUGCGUAGGCGGUUCUUUGUGUCCGCUGUGAAAGCCCCGGGCUUAACCUGGGAAUGGCAGUGGAAACUAGAGAACUUGAAUCUGGCAGAGGGGGGUGGAAUGCCACAUGUAGCAGUGAAAUGCGUAGAUAUGUGGCGGAACACCGAUGGCGAAGGCAGCCCCCUGGGCUGAGAUUGACGCUCAGGCACGAAAGCGUGGGGAGCAAACAGG
rnacentral:rRNA from 1 species